rnacentral:misc_RNA from 1 species
GUAUUUCGAAUUAAGUAAAUUCGUGAUAACAAAUGUUCAGACAAUUUAACUAAAGACGUUGGUAAAUAUAGAAGGCUCCACACUUCAAAAAAAGAGAGAGACCCCCUAAACGUUGCACACAAGGUGGAUAUGGAUUGUUUAAAAAGUGCCAUAAAACACUUGUUGUGAAUGAUCCUUCCGCAGGUUCACCUACGGAAA